rnacentral:piRNA from 1 species
UCCUGGAAUAAAGGCCUGCUGAUGAA